GAAACUUUUAUAUGUCCUCAUGAUUAUUGACUGAAAAUAUCUUUCUUCGCUAUUUUUUUGUACGCUCUAUGGUUCCGUUGAAAUCUCAUGUACAGUAAUAUCUUCUUUGACAAUGGAAACAUGACAAAUAUAUUGUAUCUUGCAUGUCUGAAGUUUAUAAUUAUUCACUGUUUUCCUACACAUAGUUGAGUUUUUGUAAAGAAGUUCAUUGCCCUCAGUAUAAGAUUUUACUGUGUUUGCUUUGCUUUUAUGGGGCAAGAAUUUAGCUGCUGAUUACUUUUGGUUUUUAUCUGCUUUGAAAUUGAUGUUGAAUU
rnacentral:misc_RNA from 1 species